rnacentral:rRNA from 1 species
CAAUAGCGUAUAUUAAAGUUGUUGCAGUUAAAAGCUCGUAGUUGAAUUUCUAGUCAACCGUUAGCUGGCUUCACAGUCGUUAACGAUUGCCUAUCCGACAUUGAACCUGUAUGGUUAUUAAGUUAACCUACUGGCGAACUGUCAUUUUACUUUGAAAAAUUAGAGUGUUUCAGGCAGGCAAUUGCCCGAAUAUCUUAGCAUGGAAUAAUGGAAUAGGACUUUGGUUCAUUUGAUUGGUUAUUGAAUCAGAGUAAUGAUUAAUAGGGACAGUUGGGGGCAUUAGUAUUUAAUUGUCAGAGGUGAAAUUCUUGGUAUUUAAUUAAAGACUAACUUAUGACGAAAGCAUUUGCCAAGGAUUGUUUUCUAAUUUAAUCAAGAAACGAAAGGUUAGGGGAUACAAAGAUGAUUAGA